AAGUCGUAACAAGGUUUCCGUAGGGUACGUUUAACAAUCCUUUUCCCCCUUAACAACCCUUGUGACAUUUGCUAACAUAAUCUCUAGUGAACCUGCGGAAGGAUCAUUACCGAGUAAGGGUCUUCCAGGCCCGAUCUCCAACCCUUUGUUUAACCAACCACGUUGCUUUGGCGGGCCCGCCCUUUGGGGCCGCCGGGGGCUUUACCGCCCCUGGCCCGUGCCCGCCGGUAGCCAUCUUAAAUUCUGAUAACUGUGCCGUCUGAGUAUAGAUAUAAAUCGUUUAAAAACUUUCAACAACGG
rnacentral:misc_RNA from 1 species